UCAAACAUUUAGUGUUAAUAACAUUUUUUUUGUUUUUUAGUUUGAAACAGCCUAACUUUUCGUUAACCAAAUUAGUAUCAAGCACUAUAUGAAAGAUUUGAAGAUUUAUAAAGGUUGGGGGGGGGGGUUAUUCGCCCCUCCCAUACAUCGAUGUAAACACGACUUAAAUUCGUAAUAGUACCACCACGUAAAUUCUUGUAGAACAUAAUUUUAUAUUUUAUACUAAUUGAAUUCAUUUUAGUAAAGAUAAAAAUAUUCAUGAAAA